UUUUAAGGAAAGCCGACUAAGAACGCCUCGUCCUGUGCCAACGUCGAUAUGACCCGGAUUCCGGG
rnacentral:sRNA from 1 species